UACGUAGGCAGCGAGCGUUGUUCGGAGUUACUGGGCGUAAAGGGUGUGUAGGCGGUUGUUUAAGUUUGGUGUGAAAUCUCCCGGCUCAACUGGGAGGGUGCGCCGAAUACUGAAUGACUAGAGUGCGGGAGAGGAAAGUGGAAUUCCUGGUGUAGCGGUGAAAUGCGUAGAUAUCAGGAGGAACACCAGUGGCGAAGGCGACUACCUGGCCUGUUCUUGACGCUGAGGCGCGAAAGCUAGGGGAGCAAACGGG
rnacentral:rRNA from 1 species